rnacentral:lncRNA from 1 species
UUUUUUGUCAAUUUUUAUCUCCUCUAUUGUUCUUUUUCUCCCAAAGACGAAAUGGAUAAUUCCCCUGCCCCGAGUUCCCUUCUUUGGAUUUACUUCUGAGGCUUGUUCAUCCAUGCUAAGACUAGGCUUACCAAGAGCACAGAUCAACGAGACCAAUAUGUUAUGUGAAUCUGGAUGCAGCACACACUUAAACAGUAGCACUUAGGCUUCUGAGGACUUACCUGGUUACUUACUGAAGGUAAGCAGCAAUUACUGUUAUGCAGCAAUUGGAUUCCUGAGUGCAAGUAAUAAGCUUGAACAGUGUAUAGAACAACCUCUCCUAUUAAGGCUGGAUCUAAAGCUUAUUGAAAUCAGCAGGGAUUUUCUAACUGAGCUUUGACAGACAGUGCUUUUGGCACUUACUGAUACAGAAUUGUGUAUCUGUGCUGCGUGAGGUUGUUUGUUUGGGUUUUGUUGUGUUUUUUUGUUUUUGAUAAGCAUAUGUCACACUAAAGGCACUGAACUAUGCCUGCGUGUCUUUGACAAAGAAGGGUAAUUUAUAAAACUGUUAGUUGCCUAAUAUGGAAG